GCGGGCGGCCAUGGCGGCGGGCGGGCAGCGGGGCGGGCCCGCGGGACUCGCCGCCUCCCGGCGCCGCGGCGCGGGCUGAGGGGAGCGGGCCGCCCGCCGCCGCCCUCCCGCUCCCUCCUUCUCCGCCGGAGGAAGGUGCAGAGCAUGGAGAAUGAUGAACUUCCGCCAGAGGAUGGGCUGGAUUGGUGUGGGGCUAUACUUGUUAGCAAGUGCUGCAGCUUUUUAUUACGUCUUUGAAAUCAAUGAGACUUACAACAAACUAGCACUGGAGCACAUUCAGCAACACCCCAAGGAACCACAGGAAGGAACCACAUGGACACACUCCUUAAAAGUACGACUGCUAUCCUUGCCGUUUUGGCUGUGGACGAUAAUAUUUUUAAUACCAUAUUUACAGAUGUUCUUGUUCCUCUAUUCCUGUACAAGAGCUGACCCCAAAACUGUGGGGUAUUGCAUCAUUCCUAUCUGCUUGGCUGUUAUUUGCAAUCGUCACCAAACAUUUGUGAAGGCCUCUAAUCAGAUCAGUAGAUUACAACUGAUUGACACUUAGCUCAACUUCUGUUUUCUGUUGCUGAUUUGAAGCGAUUGCAUAUGCUCGAUCUAAUCACAAGACUGAAGUUCUGAGUGAAGGCCGGAAAGAGCCUUUUCUUUCAAACUGAUAAGCAAUGAAGAGAGUGACUGUUUUCUAUUUAAAACAAACAAGUAACUACAAGGUUUUUAAUUAUGGAUCUAUGAAGUGGCCAGAGUGGGAGAGCCCUGUGUGACACGUGAUGGAAGUAUUCCUCAUUUUGCCUUAAUGAUGCAAAAUUGUGACUCCAUCUGAAAUGUCCUGUGGGGAAACAAGUUUCUGGUCCACAACUUGACUCCUCUGUGCAAAAAAGUGAUUUCUUAUGUUUUCCCUUGGAGUGAAAUCAAUGAAAAGAUACUUCUUUUGUGGUAAAUGUAAAAGGAAAAAAGAAAUUAAGAAUGUGAUUAUAAAAGCUGCACUUAACACAAUUCUUUGCUUUUUCUUUUUUUUUAUUAUCUACAUCAGUGCUGUUUUUAAUGAAUUUUUAAAAAAUAAGUUUAGAUACAAAAACAGGAAGCAAAGAAUAAAGUUUGUGCAAACCUUUAAAGGGAAAUUAUUUUCCUGUGGUAGCCUACUUGUUUUCAGUCAACCCACCAGUCGCACACUGCAGUAGGCAGGCUGUGAGGAGUGGCAUAGGCCUGAAACUUGGUGCUUUAAACUGUUCCUAUGACAUCAAAAGCAGCCUAUGCUGGCAUUGGCCUGUAGUCUGCACAAAAAUUCUUUCGUGUUGUUCUGCUAUCGUCUUGCUUGAUAAAAUUACAAGUUACUGAAAUUUACGACCAUUCUAAUGUCACUCCAGACAUCAUGCAAAACCAUGUUCCAGGAGAACUGAUAUAUUAGGAAAAACUUUGAAUUUGGGAAACUUAACUGGUUGGGGAAUGCUACAAACUCGUUGUAAGACAGAUAAUCAUGUUUCUUCCAGAAAUUCAAAGAAGUAAGAUACCUUCUUCUCAUUCUUGUAAUGAAUGCAAAUUUCUUCAGUCAUACUGAAAUUCCACUGAGAUUUCUUUGCCAUAGUUUCAACUUCUAUUUUUCAGUGCUAUUUUGGAAUAGCAUAUUUUGAAUAAGACUGAAUAUGUUCUUUCUUUCUGUCCAUUUUUGUUUCUUCUGAGAAUAACUAAAUGUUUGUCCCAGCCAUGAUGGAAGUAACAAAUACGAAAACAGUGCAAAAUACACUUCUCAGAAGCAGUAGGCUCAAAAGAAUUAUGAGCUAAACUCCUUGACUAUAACUUCAACUGAAUGUGAUUGUCCAUACCUAAUCAAAUGUUAAUCCAUUUUUGACUGCUUUAAGGGAAUCCUAGAGUGUUGUCUUUCUCUAGCAUUGGAAAGAGAACCCUAUUUUCAGUGUUGCUGUGUUUAAGCACGGCAGUUCCAACACCUUAAACUUUCUGUUUGCACUUGGAGAUACUUGGAGACACUGGUUUCAAUUGUCACCGUUGGUGCUAGGACCUGAAAACAAUGUAGCCUUUGCAAGAAGGUUUUGAGUUCUAAGUGCAAUAUGAAAAGGAGGAAGCUGCCAUCUUAGUGUGCUGGAGUAAGAGUAAAUUAUAAACUCUGACGAGUAGUUAGUGUCUUGGGGAGUCAGAGCUUUUAAGUUGUGUUGUUUCUCAAGUUUUAAAAUCACCAUGCUAUUUAUCUAUAAAAUAAAAACUUUUCAAUGUUUAUAAA